rnacentral:rRNA from 1 species
GACGAACCGUGCGAACGUUAUUCGGAAUCAUUGGGCUUAAAGGGCGCGUAGGCGGCGGUGUAAGUUGGAAGUGAAAUCCCAUCGGCUCAACCGUGGAAUAGCUUUCAGUACUGCGUCGCUCGAGUGAGAUAGGGGUCCGUGGAACUACCGGUGGAGCGGUGAAAUGUGUUGAUAUCGGUGGGAACGCCAGUGGCGAAAGCGACGGACUGGACCUUUACUGACGCUGAGGCGCGAAAGCUAGGGGAGCAAACGGG